rnacentral:misc_RNA from 1 species
GGCUUCGAGGCUUAUGCAGGCGGUUCUGUAUGAAGCCUAUGGCGGCGGAUCGGCUGCUCUCAAGCAUGUAGAAGUUCCCAUUCCUAGACCCAAGACAGAUGAGGUUUUGGUUAAAGUGGAAGCAGUUAGUUUGAAUCCAAUUGAUUGGAAAAUUCAGAAAGGAAUGAUACGUCCCUUUCUUCCUCGCAAGUUCCCUCAUAUUCCUGGUACUGAUGUGGCUGGAGAAGUCGUUGAGGUUGGAGCAGGAGUCAAAAGCUUAAAAGCUGGGGACAAAGUUGUUGCAUUUCUUAGCCAUGCUACAGGAGGUGGACUUGCCGAAUAUGCUGUAGGAAAGGAGGCAGUAACUGUUUAUAGGCCCCCUGAAGUGACAGCAGCUGAUAGCGCUGCCCUACCUGUCGCAGCUUUGACAGCUCACCAGGCUCUCACCCAAGCUGCCGGGAUCAAGCUUGAUGGGAGUGGCCCACAAUCAAACAUUCUCAUCACUGCUGCCUCUGGUGGUGUAGGUCAUUAUGCUGUUCAGCUAGCGAAGUUAGGAAACACACAUGUGACGGCUACUUGCGGCGCCCGUAAUAUCGAGUUUGUGAAGAGCUUGGGUGCAGAUGAGGUUAUUGACUACAAAACCCCGGAAGGGGCAACCUUGAAGAGCCCAUCAGGCAAGAAGUAUGAUGCAGUGGUUCACUGUGCCUCAGGGAUCCCAUGGUCUGUUUUUGAACCAAACUUGAGUCCUAAUGGUAAGGUCAUAGACAUUACUCCAAAUCCUGCUGCGAUGGUGACUUUUGCCUUCAAGAAACUGACCUUCUCCAGGAAGCAGCUGGUGCCGUUGCUGAUGUCUUUCAAGAGUGAGAAUCUGAGCUAUCUUAUUAAUCUGAUCAAGGAAGGCAAGCUGAAGACGGUGAUCGAUUCACGGUAUCCUCUCGGCAAGGCUGAAGAUGCUUGGGCAAAAAGCAUGGACGGCCAUGCCACUGGCAAAAUCAUUGUGGAGCCGUAGUUGUGACUUUUAGUUUGGCUCGUGUAGUUGUGACUUGUUAUGCAUAAUGAAUGGUGAUAAUUGUGAAAUAUGUACUUAGGAAAGGAUAAACUUAUAAUUUAGUCCUAAGUUGUCAAG